GAGCUCUUUCUGAGAUGAAGAGAACUCUCAAUGUCAAGAUUUCAACAAGAAGAGAAUGGAAUACACGAUACGGACAU
rnacentral:lncRNA from 1 species